GCAAGUCGAACGGCAGCGCGGGGAGCUUGCUCCCUGGCGGCGAGUGGCGGACGGGUGAGUAACGCGUAGGAAUCUGCCCAGUAGUGGGGGACAACCCGGGGAAACCCGGGCUAAUACCGCAUACGCCCUACGGGGGAAAGCGGGGGAUCUUCGGACCUCGCGCUAUCGGAUGAGCCUGCGUCGGAUUAGCUUGUUGGUGAGGUAAUGGCUCACCAAGGCGACGAUCCGUAGCUGGUCUGAGAGGACGAUC
rnacentral:rRNA from 1 species